AACCGUAUUGAUUUGAAGGGACAGGGGAGCCGAAGGCGCCUGCCAGGACGACUAUUGACGCUGAGGCGCCAAAGCGUGGGGAGCAAACAGGAUUAGAUACCCUGGUAGUCCACGCCGUAAACGAUAAGCACUAGUUAUUAGAGGUAUUGACUCCUUCAGUGACGCAGCUAACGCAUUAAGUGCUCCGCCUGGGGAGUUCGGUCGCAAGACAAAAACUCAAACAAAUUGACGGGGGCCCGCACAAGCGGUGGAUUAUGUGGUUUAAUUCGUUGCAACGCGGAGAACCUUACCUAGGCUUGAACUCCUACGAACCCGAAGUAAUAAACGGGGUGCCCGCAAGGGAAUGUAGGGAGAGGUGCUGCAUGGCUGUCGUCAGCUCGUGUUGUGAAAUGUUGGGUUAAGUCUCGCAACGAGCGCAACCCCUAUCGUCUGUUGCCAGCUUUAAGUUGGGCACUCUGACGAGACUGCCUGGGUUAUCCAGGAGGAAGGGCGGGAGGACGUCAAGUCCUCAUGGCCCCCAUGUCUAGUGAUACACACGUAAUACAAUGGCGCGUACAGAGGGAAGCGAACUCGCAAGGCCGAGCAAAUCUCAAAAAGCGCGCCUCAGUUCGGAUUGGAGUCUGCUUCUCGACUCCAUGAAGUUGGAAUCGCUAGUAAUCGGAGAUCUUCACGGGCCGGUGAAUACGUUAACGGGCCUUGAUCACACCGCCCGUCACACCAUGGGAUA
rnacentral:rRNA from 1 species